rnacentral:snoRNA from 1 species
UUUGGGAAAUGAUGAGAGAUUCAAACAGGUUAUAGCAUAGGCUUAAUGGUUUUUUUGCCAUGCUGAAUAUUUUUUGCACGUCAAUCUGAUCCCAAA